rnacentral:rRNA from 1 species
UACGUAGGCAGCAAGCGUUGUUCGGAGUUACUGGGCGUAAAGGGUGUGUAGGCGGUUCCUUAAGUUUGCUGUGAAAUCUCCCGGCUUAACCGGGAGGGUGCGGUGAAUACUGAGGGACUAGAGUACGGGAGAGGAAAGUGGAAUUCCUGGUGUAGCGGUGAAAUGCGUAGAUAUCAGGAGGAACACCAAUUGCGAAGGCAGCUCGCUGGGACGCUACUGACGCUGAGACGCGAAAGCGUGGGGAGCGAACAGG